rnacentral:rRNA from 1 species
UACGAAGGGGGCAAGCGUUGUUCGGAUUUACUGGGCGUAAAGGGCGCGUAGGCGGCCAGCGCAAGUCAGUUGUGAAAUCUCCGGGCUUAACUCGGAACGGUCAACUGAUACUGCGCGGCUAGAGUGCAGAAGGGGCAACUGGAAUUCUCGGUGUAGCGGUGAAAUGCGUAGAUAUCGAGAGGAACACCUGCGGCGAAGGCGGGUUGCUGGGCUGACACUGACGCUGAUGCGCGAAAGCCAGGGGAGCGAACGGG